rnacentral:rRNA from 1 species
GAAAUUCGCCUUCAUGAAGCUGGAAUUGCUAGUAAUGGCAGGUCAGCAUACUGCCGUGAAUACGUUCCCGGGCCUUGUACACACCGCCCGUCACACCAUGAGAGUUGGGAAUACCCGAAGCCUGUGAGCUAACUUAUAGAGGCAGCAGUCGAAGGUAGAAUCAAUGAUUGGGGUGAAGUCGUAACAAGGUACC